GAUGAACGCUAGCGGCAGGCUUAACACAUGCAAGUCGAGGGGCAGCAUGACACGGAGAUUCGUCGAAGUGUUGAUGGCGACCGGCGCAAGGGUGUGUAACGCGUGAGCAACUUGCCCGUUUCAGGGGGAUAACCGGUGGAAACGCCGACUAAUACCCCAUAGCAUCAACUUCAGGCAUCUUUAGUUGAUUAAAGAAUUUCGGAAACGGAUAGGCUCGCGUGACAUUAGCUAGAUGGCGGGGUAACGGCCCACCAUGGCGACGAUGUCUAGGGGUUCUGAGAGGAAGGUCCCCCACACUGGAACUGAGACACGGUCCAGACUCCUACGGGAGGCAGCAGUGAGGAAUAUUGGUCAAUGGUCGAGAGACUGAACCAGCCAUGCCGCGUGAAGGUCACGGCCCUAUGGGUCUUAAACUUCUUUUGUAAGGGAGCAAUAAGGUCUACGUGUAGACUGAUGAGAGUACCUUACGAAUAAGCAUCGGCUAACUCCGUGCCAGCCGCCGCAGUAAAAC
rnacentral:rRNA from 1 species